rnacentral:rRNA from 1 species
AGAGUUUGAUUCUGGCUCAGGAUGAACGCUGGCGGCGUGCUUAACACAUGCAAGUCGAACGAGAACCAAUGGAUCAAGGAUUCGUCUGAGUGAAGUUGGGGAAAGUGGCGGACGGGUGAGUAACGCGUGAGCAAUCUGCCUUGGAGUGGGGAAUAACGGCUGGAAACAGCCGCUAAUACCGCAUGAUGCAGCUGAGUCGCAUGGCUCUGGCUGCCAAAGAUUUAUCGCUCUGAGAUGAGCUCGCGUCUGAUUAGGCAGUUGGCGGGGUAACGGCCCACCAAACCGACGAUCAGUAGCCGGACUGAGAGGUUGGCCGGCCACAUUGGGACUGAGACACGGCCCAAACUCCUACGGGAGGCAGCAGUGGCCAAUAUUGGGCAAUGGGCGCAAGCCUGACCCAGCAACGCCGCGUGAAGGA